UUUUAGCCUGUUGGUGCCUGGUGAUAGUGCACCAGUUUAGUAUUUAAAAUUCUUAUGGCUUCGUUGUUGUGUGUUUGUGCGCCUGUGCCACUGUACGAGUAUGGAUCUGUGGGGAUGUGUCAUGUAUGUGUACUUAAGAAUGUGAUCUAAUAAGAAUGGUCAUGGUUUGUUCAUUACUAUUUUAGAACAGAGGAACUUACGUUGUGUAUCUUCUUAUAUAAGCUGAUAGUCCUCUAUACUCUGCUCCCUAUUUAAGGCACAAAAGAAAUCCCUUGUUGUUUGCUGCCUCUGCUCUCUUCCACGCAUCUUUCCAAUCUCCACUACCACCCGACGAGCUUCUCGUCCUCAUGCCCAAAUCCACCAACAUGGCUCAAAGCCAGACAAGCUUCUCAGAGCGCAUGAACACACUCUUCUCCAUGGCAAAAGACCUCUCCUAGGAGUUUAGCGCCCACAUUGUUGUCAUCGUGUUCUCCC
rnacentral:lncRNA from 1 species